UGGAGCAACGGCAAGACGGCAAUAGUAGCGCUCAGAGCUUAUAAGCUGCAGAGCACGAUUACACUGGGAGAGAGAGCGAACGAGAGAACAAAAGCUAGCAAAAGCAAAACAAGAGAGUGAGCGAAAGAGAGAGUAUGUGUGCCCAAGCGUCAACGCGCCAACGUGAGGCAGCUAGACAGAGAGAGGGAGAGCCAGAGAGAGCGCAGCCAUUUGGGUACGCUGUAAUUUAGCUAGGCCCGCACAGAAUUUUUCGGUCGCACACAUCGUGCUCAGUGCUCAACUUGACGUCGUGCUGUGAAAAAGUCGAAAAGCCGGAAGUUGAGCAAUUCUGUGACAGCGCUCAUCCACCCACCGCUCUCGCCAGCUGCUCGAGCAUUAGGCUGCCGCAAACACUACGUAUGCGGAAUUGCCGCCGGUUGUAAAACAAACGGUGCAAACAGUUUUGCAUAAUAUGUACAGCAAAUACAAACAGCAAACAAAGGCGACUGCCCAAGAAUUAGUGUAUGAAUCUAAUCAACAAUUCAGUGUUUUCAUAAAAAAUUAAAAAAAAAAAGCAAACGGAAGAAACCAUAAACAAAUGCUUGUCAAGUGCAGUGCAAAGCGAUUUGUCGCAUUUUUCUAAUUCACAUUCACCCGCGUCGUUUGUGUUAUCAGCCUGUGAACAACAACAGCAGCAACAAGAACGGAGACGAGCAGCACAAAAGCACUAGCAAACAAAAGGAAAACAACGACAACAAAAACAAAAACAAAUGCUUGCAUUCGCGGCGAAAUGUAACUGCAUUUCAAAAUUGUCGCCAACGCCGCUGUCGACGCACAUGUGUAUGCGUGCAUGUGUAUGUGUGUUUAUAGAUUAUGAUCUCAAAUUGGCUUAAGUGAAAUCAAGUUGACAGCACGUGGUCGCAAAUCAAACAGAAAUGAACUGUUAAAUGGCUGCCGAGGCUUGUUUGUGCGUCAAUAUUUAAAGCCGGCAAUAGAAGGACUGAGGCGACGGCUCCCGGGACUGAGGCGAACGUGCAUGAACCGAGAUCUAGAGGCUAAUGUAACGAACACAGCCACAAGGGCUGAAGAUGACACAAAGCCAUUUGCCGGGCACAGUUUGAGUUGGUCUCGUCAUCAAUUACCCCUUCCCGGCGCUGUCCCAUUAAGGUCGUGUAGCCAGCCAAACAGCCGCGGAGGCAACAAUAGGCAACAGGCGACGGCAACAGGUCGUCAAGGAACUCAACCAGCCUCAACCAGCCUCAACCAGCCCACUCAGCCAUAUAAGUGGGCAGCUACGUGACUUUGUCAGCCCACGCAGCUGGAGCCGCAGUCAAGCGUUUAGCUGAAGAGCAUCGCCCACUCAGUGAGGCUAGGCUGGGCCCGAUUCACCUGAUGUGGGAGCAUCAGGUGUACUGAAUGUAUGCUAGCGACUUGGUAACCAUUGCCGCUGCUGCCGUUGACACGAUAACUAACAAUCAUGACCGAUGUAUCAGCUACCACGGGCAGGGCCGGCGAUCGAGUCAGCUCCACAAGCUCCGAGGUGGCUGUGGAGACAACAUCUCAAGCUCUAACCAAUGGUGCCGCAAAGGAACCACUGGCAGCAGUAACAG
rnacentral:sRNA from 1 species